AUGGAGUUCGAGCUCGGGAAGGUGCAUGAGGAGGUCGUCCGUGAGGAGGUGCUGCUCGUUGGCGAGCAGAUGAUGUACGAUGUUGGAGGCGACGAAGGGGUCAUCUCCCUGAUGGCGAGCUGGACGCGCAGUGCACCCUCGUUCCUCCCUCUUUCCUACUUCAGGGUCGUCGGAUUGGAUGUCCUCGGUGACUUGUCAGGGUACAUAUAUAGACUAAGGCUUGUGUCUCCUGGGUGCAUUUCCUAUAAAAUUAGCUCUCAUCACCAUGACAAAGUUUCUUCCACUGAAUAUGUGAACCUGGAGAAGACUCCCUAUGAAGGUCUCCUGACAACUAAAGUUUUACCUGCUAUUAAAAUGGUCGAAGCAGAGUUCAAUGAGCAUAUGGUAAAGAAAGGUAUCAAUGGAUUCACCAACGUAGAUUACAAGAGUAAAGGUUUAUCUAACGAGGCCUUGUCGCGGCGCUACAAGUGUUGCCCCCUCGUCCCAAAGGGCAAGGUGAAGGAAGGUGCCUGUGUGGUUCUUCUGCAGCUUGCAACGAGGAUUGUUGUGUCCAACCUGCACAAGAAUGCCAAGAAGUCCUUCUCGGAAACGAUUAAGGACAUGUAUCUGCACUACAACGAGAGAUCUGGACUGCUUCUUUGUGGCUUCCAAACUUAA
rnacentral:rRNA from 1 species